ACUCGACCAGCAGAUACGUACCAAGAUAUUUUUAGCCGUGAAAAUCCGCCCGGCAGUUGCCUGGCUGCCUGCGGUGUAGCCCAGUGAAAAUGAGACGCUCGUUUCAGAAUCCAGGAAUGCUGUACAAGUCUCAUCCGGUGAUCAACAUCCAGAAAGAAUUAAGCGGAGAUGACAAAGGAAAAUGAAAGCUACAGAAGCAGAAGACAAAAGUAUACAAAUAUGACUGAGAUAUUAUUUAUUUGUAAGUUGACAAUGAAGGACAGCAACGUUGAACAUGCUCUGAGCAUUAACUACAACAGUUUUGUUUCCAAUAGGCACUCUGAUGUCAAUUUAUAAUAACUUGGUCCAAUUAUCAGUACAAUGAAAAUUCUAGUCAAAUAAGAUUUUAAAAUAUUAUAUUGAUUCCUGGGU